AUAACACCGUAACUUCGGGAGAAGGUGUGCCCCGGUAGUGUGUAGCGAUUUACUCGUGAAGCAUGAUGGGGUUGCAGUGAAAAGGUGGCUGCGACUGUUUAAUAAAAACAUAGCACUGUGCUAACACGAAAGUGGACGUAUACGGUGUGACGCCUGCCCGGUGCUGGAAGAUUAAAUGAUGGGGUGCAAGCUCUUGAUUGAAGUCCCAGUAAACGGCGGCCGUAACAAUAACGGUCCUAAGG
rnacentral:rRNA from 1 species